GUCGAGGAUCUUGGACAAUGCGCGAAAGCGUGAUCCAGCGACGCCGCGUGCAGGAUGACGGCCUUCGGGUUGUAAACUGCUGUCGUGAGGGAGCAAUAGCGUGGGGGCUAACACCCUCUGCGCAUGAUAGUACCUCAGGAGGAAGACACGGCUAACUCUGUGCCAGCAGCCGCGGUAAUACAGAGGUGUCGAGCGUUGUUCGGAUUUACUGGGCGUAAAGGGUGCGUAGGCGGACUCGUGUGUCGGAUGUGAAAGCCUGCUGCUUAACGGCAGAACGGCAUCCGAAACUACGGGUCUAGAGUUCGGGAGAGGAAGGCGGAAUUCCAGGUGUAGCAGUGAAAUGCGUAGAUAUCUGGAGGAACACCCGUGGCGAAGGCGGCCUUCUGGACCGACACUGACGCUGAGGCACGAAGGCUGGGGGAGCAAACAGGAUUAGAAACCCUUGUAGUCC
rnacentral:rRNA from 1 species